UUAAUUAACGUUUAAGAAUAAUCAAAAUAGAAAUUAACUUAAUCUCGUUUUGAUAGAUUUUAGGUAAAAUUUGAUGAAUGCUGAGUAUAUGCCUUUUCAGUAGCACAUUGCAGUAUUUUUGUUGUCUUUUUAAUUGUAUGUAGUCUUGUGCUGCUGAAUAAAUUUAUUUUACUUUUAAAUUAUAGUGUUCCAUUCAAACUUGAGUUUUUGUAAAAUUAACUGGUUUUAUCAUCCUUUAGAUGUUUUACAAAGAAACAUCAAUGCAUCGAGUAUAUCAAUACAACUUCAAAUAAUCGGUUUCAAUGUAUCAAUGGAUAAAAAAUCGACUAUGAUUGAUUUUCAAUUAUAAAAAUAAUCGAUUAUUUUAAAUAUAAAAAUCGCGUAAAAAAAUCGAUUUUUACUUUUUAAAAAAUCGAUUAAAAUCGAUUUUUUUAAUAAUCGAUUAUUUUUUCACAUCCCUAGUCUCACGUGUAUCAGAAUAAAAUUGCUAUUUAAUUGUUACUCGACUUUUAAACCUAUUCCAGGCUACAUUCCAACGAAAACAUACAACUAUAAUUAUUGUUGGUUGCAAAUAUAGUUAGUUUGGUACUCUUUAAUCUUUACAAUUGUUAGUAAAACACAAUAGGUAGAUAGCGCUACAUCAUAACUUAACGAAAAAUUAUUAUUAUUAUUCAUUAUCUAUUUUGUUUUUAUCAAUGUUCAUUUAGAUUUGUUUGUUAGUCUGUGGAAAAGACAUUGACAUAUGUCAUUUUUAUUUUUUUAAUUUGAUUAUGAAGUGUUUGUUACGAGUACAUUUUUAAUUGAUUAUAAAAGAAAUAGGAUAAAAGUGAUUUUUAACUGAAAUAGCAUUUGCAACACAUUUGAGUGUAACUCCCUUAUAAAACAACAUUUUUGUUUGUUUAAAUUGUAAUUUAUACAAAGAAACAAAAAUGUCUGAAAGUGACGCCACCAGACUUUGUUUCGUGUUCAAGCUAAUGCCGGCCAAGAUGCAAAAUCUAAUAUUCUUUGUGUUGUUUGGUUGGUUGUAAUGACAAGUAAUGGAAAAAUGUUUGCUUUGCCAGAAGAAUUACAGUCGAUAAAUCAGCAUAAAGAAAUUGCUAAAACUGCCGCAUAUGUAAAAGUUAAAAAUAGCUUAAAAAAACGAUAUCAAGUAAGAAGAGUUUGGUUAGGUAAAGUCAUGUCAUGUAUGACAAUUUGAAAAUCAAUAUCGCGAAGAAAUCUAUUCAGAAAAGCCGAAGACAAUUGAAAACAUUAAACAGACAGAUACUAUUAAAAACAUAUUAAAUGAACUAAUGGAAAAUAAGCAACAAAACCUAAAAAAUAUUGCUGAGAAAUUUGUGCACGAAAAAUUCAUAAGCACAAAUUCUAAUGCUAUGCAAUGGAUGAAUAUGUUUGAAAAUGAAUGCAUUCGUUUUGACUAGUUAUGAUGAUUUCGGGCUGCGCUUGAAAUCUACGAUUACGACGUAGAAACCACAACACUAUCUGAAAUGAUGCAGUCUUUGAAUGACAUGUACAAGCUUCUUCAAGAGGAAGACCUGUGGUCCGGUCUGUGGCAGAAACACGUGUCAAAUAUAUCGCGAGACAAACAAGGAUUCUUUGAACAAGCACAGGCAGCAUAAUAUGAUGUAGCUAUGGCCAAAUUAAGAAGCCAGAAAGAGUAUUCUGCAAAUCCAUCAUCAUACAAUAAACACUUAAAUACCCUUUCCCCAGGACACUUUCUUAUUGGACGACCAUUAACCUCAGUGCCUUCUAAAGGUCUAGGUGAAUUCAAAUUUAGUCACUUACAAAGGUACCAGAGAAUUGAGCAAUUAAGGCAGCACUUUCGGAGACGAUGGCAAAAGGAGUACAUGGCGGAAUUACAACAGCGCACUAAAUGGAGAGAGAACUCUGCCAAUCUUAAUAUUGGGGACCUAGUGCUGAUAGCCGAGCAAAAUACUGCUCCUCUCUGCUGGAAGUUAGGUCGAGUGCGGCUGAUAAAUGGCGGCUUAGAUGGAGUGGCCAGAGUGGCAGAGAUUAAAACCAGCAGCGGCUGCAUAACACGUUCAUUGGUCCGGCUGUGCAAGUUGCCGGUACAAGAAGAAUAAAAAAGAAUGUUGAAAGAGUUUCAACGGCCGGGAGUAUGUUGCGACAUUGCGCAAGUUUUAUAUCAGGCGCAUUUUAAAAUUAUAAUUGUAAGGCGGGGCGACGUGCGCCAAAAAGCUGAAACCUCCAGGAAUUAAAUCGGUUAUUCAAGGCUCAAGUCAACUGUAGUUUCCAGUAUUUAUAUUAAAUAAUAAGGAUUUUACAUAUCUUAGAAAUAAAUAAAACAAAUUAAUA